GAUGAAGAACGUAGCGAAAUGCGAUACUUGGUGUGAAUUGCAGAAUCCCGUGAACCAUCGAGUCUUUGAACGCAAGUUGUGCCCGAAGCCAUUAGGCCGAGGGCACGCCUGCCUGGGCGUCACACGUCGUUGCCCCCCCAUCUACUCCUUCGGGAUUGCGGGGGGCGGAUGAUGGCCUCCCGUGCGCCUCGUCGCGCGGUUGGCAUAAAUGCCAAGUCCUCGGCGACGCACGCCACGACAAUCGGUGGUUGCGAAACCUCGGUUGCCCGUCGUGUGCGGUCGUCGCGCAUCGAGGGCUCGAAAAAAUUGCCGGGCUCCGGCUCGGCUUUCAACGCGACCCCAGGUCAGGCGGGGUUACCCGCUGAAUUUAAGCAUAUCAAUAAGCGGAGGA
rnacentral:misc_RNA from 1 species